UACGUAGGGUGCGAGCGUUAAUCGGAAUUACUGGGCGUAAAGAGUGCGUAGGCGGUUCUUGAAGUCCGCUGUGAAAGCCCCGGGCUUAACCUGGGAAUGGCAGUGGAAACUGGGGGACUUGAAUUGAGCAGAGGGGGGUGGAAUGCCGCGUGUAGCAGUGAAAUGCGUAGAGAUGCGGCGGAACACCGAUGGCGAAGGCAGCCCCCUGGGCUUAAAUUGACGCUGAGGCACGAAAGCGUGGGGAGCAAGCAGG
rnacentral:rRNA from 1 species